GAUAUUUGAUAUUAUAUUUCUGAAAAUCUACUUUUCGGAAUCUACUACUUUUCUUUUAUUUUAUAAAUCCAUCUACCAAGAAAAGAAAGCAACGAAAAUAAAAGAAAAACUAUAUGCACUAUAUGAACUUGGCAGCUAUGUAAUUUUCUGCGUUUCGACUUUCAUUUCAGUCAAAAGAGUGAAAAACCUGACAUGGCAUUAUAUGAAUUUCUUUCAUACUCUUCAUGUUCAUAGACUCUUGUAAAACGGUAAGAUAAGUGCAAUUGUUUUGUAAAUAUCUAUAUAUCAGUAUAUCCAAAACUUAUAUGUCAAUAUUUUACACACAGUCAAACAGUAAAUUUGAAAAUUAUAUAAGUGACUGAAGAAUAUUUCGCUCUAGCACAUUUAUCAAUUCAGAAUGACGGGCCCUCAAACAAUUUUGGUUUAUGGCUUGAUUGCCGUUCUGAUCAUCAUUAUCGUGAUUAUAUCUAUUAUUUUGCUCGUUGGAUUAUAUAUUCACGAUCCAAAUCGUACAACAACAAAUGAGACGACGACUGAAGAAGCCUUGACUACUUUAUGGACGUAAAGGAGAAAGUCCUGUCUGUACAGUAUUUGUCGUACCCAAUAAAAUUUGUUUAUUGUUACUAAA